GACAGAGGGGGGCAAGCGUUGCUCGGAAUUACUGGGCGUAAAGGGCGCGUAGGCGGGAUGGCAAGUCGGUCGUGAAAUCCCUCGGCUCAACCGAGGAACGUCGAUCGAUACUGCUGUUCUUGAGGAUUGCAGAGGAGACUGGAAUUCCCGGUGUAGCGGUGAAAUGUGUAGAGAUCGGGGAGGAACACCGGUGGCGAAGGCGGGUCUCUGGGCCGAUACUGGACGCUGAGGAGCGAAAAGCGUGGGGAGCGAACAGG
rnacentral:rRNA from 1 species